rnacentral:rRNA from 1 species
CCUACGGGUGACAGCAGUGAGGAAUAUUGGUCACUGGGCGCGAGCCUGAACCAGCCAAGUAGCGUGAAGGAUGACUGCCCUACGGGUUGUAAACUUCUUUUAUAAGGGAAUAAAGUGAGGCACGUGUUCCUUUUUGUAUGUACUUUAUGAAUAAGGAUCGGCUAACUCCGUGCCCGCAGCCGCGGUAAUACGGAGGAUCCGAGCGUUAUCCGGAUUUAUUGGGUUUAAAGGGAGCGUAGAUGGGUUGUUAAGUCAGCUGUGAAAGUUUGCGGCUCAACCCUAAAAUUGCAAUUGAUACUGGCAGCCUUGAGUACAGUUGAGGUAGGCGGAAUGCGUGGUGUAGCGGUGAAAUGCUUAGAUAUCACGAAGAACUCCGAUUGCGAAGGCAGCCUACUAAACUGCCACUGACAUUGAUGCUCGAAAGUGUGGGUAUCAAACAGGAUUAGAUACCCCUGUAGUC